rnacentral:rRNA from 1 species
GAUAAACGCUGGCGGCGUGCCUAACACAUGCAAGUCGAACGUCCUCUCUCGCAAGAGAGAGGGAGUGGCGGACGGGUGAGUAACACAUGGGUCACCUACCCUUAAGUGAGGAAUACCGGCGAGAAAUCGCCGACAAGACCGCACAGGCUCUCUCUUUUGCAAGAGAGAGCAAAGCUUCGCAAGAGGCGCUUGAGGAUGGGCCCUGUGGCCGAUUAGCUGGUUGGAGGGUAAUGGCUUACCAAGGCGACGAUCGGUAGCUGGUCUGAGAGGACGAUCAGCCACACUGGGAUUGAGAACGGCCCAGACU